rnacentral:tRNA from 1 species
CGGGGUGUAGCUCAGCCUGGAAGAGCACUGCGUUCGGGACGCAGGAGCCGCUGGUUCAAAUCCAGUCACCCCGACCA